CUGUUAGUUUGGAGACUCCCAACACCUUUAGAGCAAAAGUUAGACGUUAGACUAGAUUGUCUCUUAAUUAGUUUAUUUUUAUUAUCUCUGCUGACUUCCAGAGAACACCUGAAUAUCAACAGCGGAAGAGAAACAAAUAUUGAGAAAAACAAGUCGGCCAACCAGAUUUAGGAUGAAGAUGAUCUCCAGGAUCCUGCUGCUCGUCAUCCUCAUCUCACGUGUCUGUGGUCAAUCUCCAGUCCAGAGUGACAAAGAUGUCCUCAGAAGACGAAUCAGACUCCAUGUGUCCAGACUGAGGACUGUAUCUGUGUGACAUGAAAACUGAAGAUGGUUCUGGUUCUGGAAGAUGUCAAGUCAGUACAACCACAACGAAUCAACCUGAGACUUCAAACUGGAUCAGGAACCAGGGAGGAAGAGAUGGGCUCUACUGUGGACUGCUGCUGUUUAUAUUUGUGAAGGUUUUCCUGAUUUACUAUCUGCUUCAUGCAGGUUUUAUUCCAGUCUCUGAUUCCAGCCAAAUCAUUUAAAACUUACAUCAACGUCUGAAGCAGAAUGUUGCAAUGUGUUCAAUAAACUCAAAAUGUUGUAGUUUAGCAUGAAGUUCUGCUUGUCUGGUCUAUUAAGGUUUUGCAGUGUUUCUCGGAGAUCUGUGUGAAUAGAUAUGUGUGAAUAGAUGUGUGUGAAUAGAUGUGGUUACAGAGAUAAAGUGAAACUGAAACAUUUAAAUGUGACUAUUUUAGAGAUAACUGAUGUGGCAGAUCGUUAGCUGGAGAUAGGCACCAGCACCCCUCCCGACCCCACUGAGGGACAAGGGUGUUCAGAAAAUGGAUGGAUGGAUGAUGUGGCAGAUUUUACACUGUUAGAUAUGACAGGGAGCAGAAAAUAUAUUGAGGCAAGUUUUAAAAAUAUUUGUCAUGGUUUCAUGCUUCUUAUAUAAAAGUACUGAAUUAUUUUUUUUAAUUGUUUUUGGCAUAUUUAUAUCAAUAAAUAUAGUGUUGACACGUUUAUCUAAACAUGUUUGAGUCCGUUUAAACUACUGUAUCACCUAAAAAGAGGAAUUAUUCGUUAACUUCAUGCUGAGUCAACAUCCACUGUACUGUGCAUGUCGCCUAAUCCCUGCUUUUAUUCUGCCAAGCCAGAAAAGUUUUACUUGAGCAGCGCAAAAUUCCCUGCAGUCAAAAUGAUCGCUAAUUGUGACCAAAAUUGGUAGAAAUCGUCACAUUUCCUUUGCGCUUUAAAUGCUAAAUAUGAAUUCCAUUUUUAUGAAAAUGUAGUUUUAGGAAAACAUAAUUAGAGGGACUCUCAUUAAGAGCUGAUGAUCCUACUGUGUAGUCUAGUCAAAGUUCAUUCAUGUAGCACAUUUACAACCUCACCUGACCAAAGUGCUUCACAAACAUCACAUCGUAGGUAGAUAAAUGAUGAACAAAAAUUAAG